CAUUAUUUGCCAAGCUUAACAAGUAUUUGGGAAACGGGUACUUCACAACCGAUGUUCACAGGCGGCAGCUUCGGAAACUUGAAAUCGUUGGACGUCGUUCAUUGUAACCAGUUGAAAUAUUUGUUUUCGUCUUCCAUAGCCAAACUUCUUGUCAGUAUAGAGGACAUAGAAGUUCAGAACUGUGAGCAAAUAGAAGAAAUCGUUGAUGCAGAAGAAGAAACUGAUGAAAUAAUUGCAUUACCUAAAUUGAACUCCCUCAAGCUUGGAAAUCUGUCAAACCUCAAGUAUUUUUGUGGUGAAGCUUAUAGUUUGAAGUUGCCGUCUUUGGUGUCAUUGAGGGUUAUUAAUUUGCAAAAUUUCAAGAUAUUUGCUCCU
rnacentral:lncRNA from 1 species